CUUCAGCCUCCAAACUCCCACACAUGUUCAAAAAUGUUGUCUUCUGCUUUAUACUUGAUCAGCAGUUUGGCUCAAAAUAAAAUUCUUGAGUCACACUUUCUUUCCUUGCUGACUUUGUAGGUGGUGUUCUAUUGAGUUCUAAUGUUGGAUGCUGCCAUGAAGAAGUCAGAGGCCAGCCUGAUAUGCCCCCACUUGUAAGUGACUAGUUGCCUUUUGUCAAGUUGCCCAAAGGAUGAUGAUGAUGAUGAUUAUUAUUAUUAUUAUUUAUAACUUUGAGAUCUAAUACCCUUAUUUGGACAUACUUGGUAUUGAUCAUUAUGAAUCCAUUUUCCUGAGUCUCAUUAACUUUUCACUGUCUCCUUUUUUUUUUUUUUUUUUCAACGUUUAUUUAUUUUUGGGACAGAGAGAGACAGAGCAUGAACGGGGGAGGGGCAGAGAGAGAGGGAGACACAGAAUCGGAAACAGGCUCCAGGCUCUGAGCCAUCAGCCCAGAGCCCGAUGCGGGGCUCGAACUCACGGACCGCGAGAUCGUGACCUGGCUGAAGUCGGACGCUUAACCGACUGCGCCACCCAGGCGCCCCCACUGUCUCCUUUUUUUAAAAAACAUUUUCUUAUAUCUUAGGAUAUUUGUUUGAUGCUGGGUUGUUUUUUUUUUUUUUUAUUUUUUCUGUUAUGUGUAUAUGGUCUCUGUCAUGUUCUCUCAUCAUUUAAGCUUAAGAAAAAUCUUUCCAUUUUGUCUUUCUCACACUCCUCGUUUCUUUUUUUUUUUUUUUAAGUUUUUUCUUAAUGUUUAUUAUUUUUGAGAGUGAGAGUGUGUGUGUGAGCAGGGGAGGGGGAGAGAGAGAGAGGGAGAAAGGAGACACAGAAUCCGAAGGAGGCUCCAGGCUCCGAGCUGUCAGCACAGAGCCCGAUGCAGGGCUCGAACUCGUGAACCACGAGAUCAUGACCUGAGCCGAAGUCGGACGCUCAACCGACUGAGCCACCAAGGCACCCCUCACAUUCCUCAUUUCUAACCACUCUGUCCCUAGUGGUAUUUCAGAAGAGUCUGUUUUCUUCGGUGCUACUUUCACAUUGACUUUUAUUUCUGCGAUACCAUUUUCCUGAAUCCUGACAGCUUGUUGUAUUUCCUUCGGUUGUUUUCUUUUGUUUCUGUGAGGUCUUCUAUCUCUUUUCUGUACUCUUGUUUAGUAGAAAUAAGCCCUUGGCAUAGUGUCUGGUGUAUGGCGGGCAUUCUCUCUCUCUCUUUUUUUUUUUUUUUUUUUAUCAAGGUGACUGUUUUCAUUUUCUAGUAUUUUCUGCCAGGUUUUCAUCAAGUCAAGAUGAAUAUCUUGCACCCUUGUGAUCACGCUUUAAAUCUAAUUUUGCAGUCUGCUUGUAGACUUACUAUAUUAUAAGCACUUGUGUCCAUGUUCUUGUAAUUAUUUAAUGGCGGAACAUCAUGCCAUUGAAUCAAUGUAUCAUUAUUUAUGUGACCGUUCUGCUACUGGACAUUUUGCAGUGUCACAAUUUCCUGUUGAAAUACAUAUUCCAUAUUAUUAUUGUUUUCAUUUGCAUCUCACUUUUAUUUCCUAUUUCCUGUUGAAGGUUGCAUAUUCUUCCAUGUUUACUUACUGCUUCUGUUUCCUUGCUCGAAUUACUUGCUUGUGACCUUUGUCCAGAUGUAUCUCUUAGCAACUCAGGCAUUUUUCAUCGGUGUGUAUGAAACCCUUACAUAAGGUAGACGUUACCCACUUGCCAUUUUCCCCACUCCUGGGUGACAUUUAAAUUAUAGUUAUUUUUCUAAUAUACGGAAUUUCGGUGUUUUGUCUAUAAGUCUCUGCGUUUGUGAUUUCUUUGACUUAGCUAAUUGUUUAUACAACAAGCCCUGUGUGAGCACCCCGUCCAUAGGACAGGUACAUGGGGAGAUAGGGAGCGGGGGAGUAAUGGACACCCCAGUUCCUGAUUUCCAGGUAAGUUGGGGGUGCAGACAUGAAAACAACCAUAGCGUUGCCUCAGUAAGUGCUAGAAUAAUAAGGAUUGCAAAGGCAGCAGCCGGAAUGGCAAACCGAGCUAGCUCUCUUGCACCCAGCCCCCCGGUGGAAGAGCUUGCAUACAAUAUCUCGCUUAAACCUCACAACAACUCUGUGACUUAGACAAGGAGAGUGAUCCUCAAGAUCUUCACAGAUGAGGAGAACAAUUCUCAGAAGGUGAACAUGACUUAUUCAAGCUCUGACAUCUAGUGAGAGCCUAAGCCAGCAUUUGAAGUCAGCCUUUUAGACUGUAACCUCCAUACCAAACCCGUUCCCUGGGGCAAAGUGGUGAUGGUGGUUGACCAUGGCAGUGAUAAGUGAUGGAGUUGCACAUCGAGGAAAGCCUCCAGGAAGAGGUGAGUCAAAACUGAGAAGUGAAAGGUGAAGACAAUUUCACCAUCAGGCAAGAGGCUGUGAGGGAAUGGGCACCCCAUCGCAGCCUGCUGAAUCCAUGAAUCGUAUGGUGUAAGAAGGAGCAGAUUUCCCCCAGGCAUGGAGCUACAGCCCCCUGAGAGACUGCAAGUUGGCCGAUAGCCUCAAGGUACAGCUGGUUCUUUCCUGACCCACGUUUUAUUUGUCUGUUCAUUCCCCACAGGCUCUACGUAAGGUGCUGGGGACAGAGAGGUGAACGAGAACGAGACAUUCAAGACAUCUGCCCCAUGGAGUGUAUGUUCCAGGUGGGGGAAAUAGACAAAAAAGAAGCUGUACUGAAUAUUUGCUCUUCGCCCAAUGACCUUUAAAAUUUCUUUCUACAUUUUGAUUAUUCCGGAUAUCUUGAGUUCCUCCUUCCCAAAGCAGAAGCCUGCCUCUCUUGAAGCGAAGGUGCAGGCAUGUGACCUACUUCCCUCCAAUCGCGCUCACCGAUCGAUCUGAGAUACCAAUGGCGGGGCGCCGGC
rnacentral:lncRNA from 1 species